CCCUUAGACGUUCUGGGCCGCACGCGCGCUACACUGACCAGUGCAACAAGCAUCCGUCCUUGGCCGACAGGCUCGGGCAAUCUUUGAACGCUGGUCGUGAUGGGGAUAGACUUUUGCAAUUUUUGGUCUUCAACGAGGAAUUCCUAGUAAACGCAAGUCAUCAACUUGCAUUGAUUACGUCCCUGCCCUUUGUACACACCGCCCGUCGCACCUACCGAUUGAAUGGUCCGGUGAAGCCUCCGGAUUGGCGCGCACCUCGGUGCCGCCGAGAAGUUGGCUAAACCUUACCAUUUAGAGGAAGGUGAAGUCGUACA
rnacentral:rRNA from 1 species